rnacentral:rRNA from 1 species
AUUGAACGCUGGCGGCAUGCUUUACACAUGCAAGUCGAACGGUAACAGGGUGCUUGCACCGCUGACGAGUGGCGAACGGGUGAGUAAUGCAUCGGAAUGUACCGUGUAAUGGGGGAUAGCUCGGCGAAAGCCGGAUUAAUACCGCAUACGCCCUGAGGGGGAAAGUGGGGGACCGAAAGGCCUCACGUUAUACGAGCAGCCGAUGUCUGAUUAGCUAGUUGGUGAGGUAAAGGCUCACCAAGGCGUCGAUCAGUAGCGGGUCUGAGAGGAUGAUCCGCCACACUGGGACUGAGACACGGCCCAGAAUCCUACGGGAGGCAGCAGUGGGGAAUUUUGGACAAUGGGCGCAAGCCUGAUCCAGCCAUGCCGCGUGUCUGAAGAAGGCCUUCGGGUUGUAAAGGACUUUUGUCCGGGAGCAAAUCCUAGUGGUUAAGACCUACUGGGGCUGAGAGGACCGGAAGAAGAAGCACCGGCUAACUACGU